AGAGCCAGAGCAUAGCUUGACCGCCUCAAUUGUUAGCUAGACUCCUUCCCCACGACCUACCUAGGGAUUCCCAUUAGUGACUCACGGCUGACCGUGGCAGAGCUGCGACCUACGGUGAACAAGCUCCAACGCCGUAUUGAGUCGUGGCAGGGUUGAUGGCUAUCUAAGGCCGCUCGGACAGUCCUCAUUAACUCAUCCAUGUCCAGCUUGCUCCUGUUCUUAAUGAGCUUCUACAGCCUGCCUGAGAUGCUCCACCAUGAGAUUGCUAAGGUCCAGGCGCGUUUCUUCUGGGCAUGCGAAGGCGAUAAGCAGAAGUAUCAUAUGGUCCGCUGGCCCGAGAUUUGCAAACCGCGGGAUUAGGCCAGGCUCGGGAUCAUGUCAUCCAAAUGCAUGAACAUUGCCCUGCUGACCCGCUGGUUGUGGCGGAUUGCGAAUGGGGAGGGAGGCCUUUAG
rnacentral:rRNA from 1 species